rnacentral:rRNA from 1 species
UAAAACGUAGGAGGCGAGCGUUAUCCGGAUUUACUGGGUGUAAAGCGCGUGCAGGCGGUUAGCUAAGUUGGGUGUGAAAGCUCCCGGCUCAACUGGGAGAGGUCGCUCAAGACUGGCUGGCUCGAGGAUGGUAGGGGAAGGUGGAAUUCCGGGUGUAGUGGUGAAAUGCGUAGAUAUCCGGAGGAACACCAGUGGCGAAGGCGGCCUUCUGGACCAUCACUGACGCUCAGACGCGAAAGCUAGGGUAGCAAACGGGAUUAGAGACCCCGGUAGUCCUAGCCGUAAACGAUGUAGACUUGGCGUCGGUGGGGUAAAAUCCAUCGGUGCCGGAGCUAACGCGAUAAGUCUACCGCCUGGGGACUACGGCCGCAAGGUUAAAACUCAAAGGAAUUGACGGGACCCCGCAC